rnacentral:rRNA from 1 species
UGGGGAAUAUUGCACAAUGGAGGGAACUCUGAUGCAGCGACGCCGCGUGAACGAAGAAGGCUUUCGAGUCGUAAAGUUCUUUUAUAUGGGAAGAUAAUGACGGUACCAUAAGAAAAAGCCCCGGCUAACUACGUGACAGCAGCCGCGGUAAUACGUAGGGGGCUAGCGUUGUCCGGAAUCACUGGGCGUAAAGGGUUCGCAGGCGGAAAUGCAAGUCAGGUGUAAAAGGCAGUAGCUUAACUACUGUAAGCAUUUGAAACUGCAUAUCUUGAGAAGAGUAGAGGUAAGUGGAAUUUUUAGUGUAGCGGUGAAAUGCGUAGAUAUUAAAAAGAAUACCGGUGGCGAAGGCGACUUACUGGGCUCAUUCUGACGCUGAGGAACGAAAGCGUGGGUAGCAAACAGG